rnacentral:rRNA from 1 species
UACGUAGGGGGCAAGCGUUGUCCGGAAUCAUUGGGCGUAAAGCGCGUGUAGGCGGCCCGAUAAGUCCGCUGUGAAAGUCCAGGGCUCAACCCUGGAAUGCCGGUGGAUACUGUCGGGCUCGAGUCCGGAAGAGGCGAGUGGAAUUCCUGGUGUAGCGGUGAAAUGCGUAGAUAUCGGGAGGAACACCAGUGGCGAAGGCGACUACCUGGCCUGUUCUUGACGCUGAGGCGCGAAAGCUAGGGGAGCAAACGGA